CCUACGGGUGACAGCAGUAGGGAAUAUUGCUCAAUGGGGGAAACCCUGAAGCAGCAACGCCGCGUGGAGGAUGAAGGUUUUCGGAUUGUAAACUCCUUUUGUUAGAGAAGAUAAUGACGGUAUCUAACGAAUAAGCACCGGCUAACUCCGUGCCAGCAGCCGCGGUAAUACGGAGGGUGCAAGCGUUACUCGGAAUCACUGGGCGUAAAGGGCGCGUAGGCGGGAUAGCAAGUCAGAUGUGAAAUCCUAUGGCUUAACCAUAGAACUGCAUUUGAAACUGUUAUUCUAGAGUAUGGGAGAGGUAGGUGGAAUUCUUGGUGUAGGGGUAAAAUCCGUAGAGAUCAAGAGGAAUACUCAUUGCGAAGGCGGCCUGCUAGAACAUAACUGACGCUGAUGCGCGAAGGCGUGGGGAGCAAACAGGAUUAGAUACCCUAGUAGUC
rnacentral:rRNA from 1 species